GCGGGGCCGGCGAGGCGUUGGACCUCGAGCUGCGACUGUAGCUAGCGUCGGCUAGCUGCUGCCAUAUCGCGCAGGUAAUGUCAUUUCGGGACCAUACUUCUUUUCCCCUCCUCCCAGCGUAAGCCUGUGCAUCUGUGUGCUAGAGUAGAAAUGCACUUCGGUCUAGACUGAGAUUUCCCCGACGAUCCUGCUGCAGUGAUCUUUCAACUUGUGUACUAGCAAUCUUGACGGACAAAGCGUGCCCAGAUGCUGAAGAUGGUGGAGAGGGGGGGUAUCAGAUGCGCAACAGGCAAUGGAUGAACUUCUGGAAGGAUACUAUCUUCUAGCGGUUUCUGGAUUGUAAUAUGCACAUGUUUACCGCUUAUUCUUCACCUUCCUUGCUGCGUGUUUUGCUAUGACGAACUCCGUUUUUACGGUUUCAUGCGCAAGUUGCCCAUGCACGCACUGUAUUUAUGCUCGUCUAUCUUCCUCAGAGUCUCCAAAAUAUGUGCCGU
rnacentral:lncRNA from 1 species